rnacentral:rRNA from 1 species
CAGGCGGGGUGCUAUACAUGCAGUCGAACGAGUUCUGAUUAUUGAAAGGUGCUUGCAUCUUGAUUUAAUUUUGAACGAGUGGCGGACGGGUGAGUAACACGUGGGUAACCUGCCCUUAAGUGGGGGAUAACAUUUGGAAACAGAUGCUAAUACCGCAUAAAUCCAAGAACCGCAUGGUUCUUGGCUGAAAGAUGGCGUAAGCUAUCGCUUUUGGAUGGACCCGCGGCGUAUUAGCUAGUUGGUGAGGUAACGGCUCACCAAGGCAAUGAUACGUAGCCGAACUGAGAGGUUGAUCGGCCACAUUGGGACUGAGACACGGCCCAAACUCCUACGGGAGGCAGCAGUAGGGAAUCUUCCACAAUGGACGCAAGUCUGAUGGAGCAACGCCGCGUGAGUGAAGAAGGCUUUCGGGUCGUAAAACUCUGUUGUUGGAGAAGAAUGGUCGGCAGAGUAACUGUUGUCGGCGUGACGGUAUCCAACCAGAAAGCCACGGCUAACUACGUGCCAGCAGCCGCGGUAAUACGUAGGUGGCAAGCGUUAUCCGGAUUUAUUGGGCGUAAAGCGAGCGCAGGCGGUUUUUUAAGUCUGAUGUGAAAGCCCUCGGCUUAACCGAGGAAGUGCAUCGGAAACUGGGAAACUUGAGUGCAGAAGAGGACAGUGGAACUCCAUGUGUAGCGGUGAAAUGCGUAGAUAUAUGGAAGAACACCAGUGGCGAAGGCGGCUGUCUGGUCUGUAACUGACGCUGAGGCUCGAAAGCAUGGGUAGCGAACAGGAUUAGAUACCCUGGUAGUCCAUGCCGUAAACGAUGAAUGCUAGGUGUUGGAGGGUUUCCGCCCUUCAGUGCCGCAGCUAACGCAUUAAGCAUUCCGCCUGGGGAGUACGACCGCAAGGUUGAAACUCAAAGGAAUUGACGGGGGCCCGCACAAGCGGUGGAGCAUGUGGUUUAAUUCGAAGCAACGCGAAGAACCUUACCAGGUCUUGACAUCUUUUGAUCACCUGAGAGAUCAGGUUUCCCCUUCGGGGGCAAAAUGACAGGUGGUGCAUGGUUGUCGUCAGCUCGUGUCGUGAGAUGUUGGGUUAAGUCCCGCAACGAGCGCAACCCUUAUGACUAGUUGCCAGCAUUUAGUUGGGCACUCUAGUAAGACUGCCGGUGACAAACCGGAGGAAGGUGGGGAUGACGUCAAAUCAUCAUGCCCCUUAUGACCUGGGCUACACACGUGCUACAAUGGAUGGUACAACGAGUUGCGAGACCGCGAGGUCAAGCUAAUCUCUUAAAGCCAUUCUCAGUUCGGACUGUAGGCUGCAACUCGCCUACACGAAGUCGGAAUCGCUAGUAAUCGCGGAUCAGCACGCCGCGGUGAAUACGUUCCCGGGCCUUGUACACACCGCCCGUCACACCAUGAGAGUUUGUAACACCCGAAGCCGGUGGCGUAACCCUUUUAGGGAGCGAGCCGUCUAAGGUGACAAA